CCUACGGGAGGCAGCAGUGGGGAAUAUUGGGCAAUGGGCGCAAGCCUGACCCCGCAACGCCGCGUGAAGGAAGAAGGCCCUCGGGUUGUAAACUUCUUUUAUUCGGGACGAAACAAAUGACGGUACCGAAUGACUAAGCCACGGCUAACUACGUGCCAGCAGCCGCGGUAAUACGUAGGUGGCAAGCGUUAUCCGGAUUUACUGGGUGUAAAGGGCGUGUAGGCGGGAGAGCAAGUCAGACGUGAAAUUCCAGGGCUCAACCCUGGAACUGCGUUUGAAACUGUUCUUCUUGAGUGAUGGGGAGGCAGGCGGAAUUCCGUGUGGAGCGGUGAAAUGCGUAGAUAUACGGAGGAACACCAGUGGUGAAGGCGGCCUGCUGGACAUUAACUGACGCUGAGGCGCGAAAGCGUGGGGAGCAAACAGGAUUAGAUACCCCGGUAGUC
rnacentral:rRNA from 1 species